rnacentral:rRNA from 1 species
CCUACGGGAGGCAGCAGUGGGGAAUCUUGCGCAAUGGGCGAAAGCCUGACGCAGCGACGCCGCGUGAGGGAUGAAGGUCUUCGGAUCGUAAACCUCUGUCAGCAGGGAAGAACGGUCACUGUGCUAAUCAGCCGUGAAUUGACGGUACCUGCCAAGGAAGCACCGGCUAACUCCGUGCCAGCAGCCGCGGUAAUACGGAGGGUGCGAGCGUGACUCGGAAUUACUGGGCGUAAAGGGAGCGUAGGCGGGAACUUAAGUUAGAUGGGAGAGCUUCGGGCUUAACCUGGAGACUGCAUUUAAAACUGGGGUUCUUGAGGGCAGGAGAGGAAAGUGGAAUUCCUAGUUUAGCGGUGAAAUGCGUAGAUAGUAGGAGGAACACCAGGGGCGAAGGCGACUUUCUGGACUGUACCUGACGCUGAGGCGCGAAAGCAUGGGGAGCGAACAGGAUUAGAUACCCUUGUAGUC